UGUAAUCUGGUGUUAUAUGCAUAUUAUGUUUUGGUCAUAGUGGAAAUUUGUAGUUGAUUACAA
rnacentral:tRNA from 1 species